GGAUGCAACCAUACCAGUACUAAUGCAUCGGAUUCCAUCAAAAUUUCAAAAUUAAACGUGCUUGGGCGAUACUAGUUCGAUCCGCGUGUUGCAUCUC
rfam:Ipomoea nil DNA, scaffold: scaffold1806, cultivar: Tokyo-kokei standard.